AGAAAAUAAAUAAAAAAUUCUCAAAUCAGAAGAAGCUCCUCGACUCUUCUCCCUCUUCGUCUUCACCUUCGUUUUCUCUCUUCUCUGUCGUCGCCGUCGCUUCUUCACCGCCGGAGAUUAUCGCCGAACCUCUCCGUCGUCGCUGCUUAGUUGUUCAUUGAUGUUGUGGGGUUGAUUGUUGCAAUAGCUCCACUAUCCAUCUCACUUGUCUCUGCUUCUCUCUCAUCCUCUUUCUUCGUUGCUAAUGUUCUCCUUCCUCCUCUUUUCAAUUGAUGAUGGUCUUCCUUCGAGGCUCUCCACCUCCACAUUUGCUUCUCUACAUGUGUUGAUCUCGACGCCGACACCCUGAUUUCCGCCAUUGAUUCCACCUCUCUUCCUCUGCCGCUAGCUGCUUCUCUCACAGGCAGGGAUGAAGAAUGGACCAGAAGCUUGAGUCACCCUAAUUUGAAGAAAUCGUUCAACUAUUCUGCUGAAUUCAAAUUGCCCAUGUUAGUGGGAAUUUAUUUGGGCAUGUUAAUGGAAAGGACCGGUUGAUUGUCACCCCUACUGUUAAUUAAUGAGAGGUUGAAGGUAUUGCCGAGACCUGGAAGCGGAGCUUGGAGGAGUGUGGUGAUAUUGAGAAUGUUAAGACCCUUGAUGUGCAUUUCUACAUCACUUGGUUACCUUUGGUAUUGUAAAGAAGGAUGAUGUUGGUCUGUAUCGAAAGCUUGUUGUCGGGUCUUCUUGGAGGAAGCAGAAGACUAAGCUUGUUGUUUCUCUUGGCUUAGGUGAUAACAUGCCCGAAUCUUUUCAAUGUUGAAAAUGAUCCAGUCAAGAAAAAAUAUUUCUAAAAGUUGUGGGCAUAAGAUUCAGGGAUUUCAAGGCUAAGUUAGUGAGUUGUUGGAUUACUAAAACGAGACAGAGAGUUUGAAAUCAGUGAAGGGUGGACAACAAACGGGCAAUACGUAGUGCGGCUACUACGUGAUGAAGUUCAUGUACGAUAUAGUCACAAGAUCUCGAAAAGGUAUUCAAUAAUCUGAGGGAGCGGCCUUUCACCUUUGAGGAGAUAGAUGAAGUUCGAGAAAUGUUGGAAAACUUUAUUACCAAUGAUUGUCUUUGAUAUUUUCUUGUACUGAAUCUUAAAUUAUGGAUGCUAGCUAGUUUUCAUAUGAUUGUAAUGUAACCGACUUUUAUAUUUACAAUUAUAUACUAUUUAAUUUAAUUAUCUAUAUAAUUGGAUACUUUUUAUAUGA